rnacentral:rRNA from 1 species
GCAUACGGCCAUACCAUCCUGAAUGCGCCCGAUCUCGUCAGAUCUCAGAAGCUAAGCAGGGUCGGGCCUGGUUAGUACUCGGAUGGGAGACUACCUGGGAAUACCAGGUGCUGUAAGCA